rnacentral:rRNA from 1 species
UACAGAGGUCUCGAGCGUUGUUCGGAUUCAUUGGGCGUAAAGGGUGCGUAGGUGGCGUGGUAAGUCUGGUGUGAAAUCCCGGGGCUCAACCCCCGGAACUGCACUGGAUACUGCCAUGCUUGAGUACUGGAGAGGAGAUUGGAAUUUACGGUGUAGCAGUGAAAUGCGUAGAUAUCGUAAGGAAGACCAGUGGCGAAGGCGAAUCUCUGGACAGUUACUGACACUGAGGCAGCGAAGGCCAGGGGAGCAAACGGG